rnacentral:rRNA from 1 species
GAUGAACGCUAGCGGCAGGCUUAACACAUGCAAGUCGAGGGGUAACGAUUGUUUUCGGACAGUCGACGACCGGCGCACGGGUGAGUAACGCGUAUGCAAUCUACCUUUAACAGGAGGAUAGCCCCGAGAAAUCGGGAUUAAUACUCCAUAGUAAUCUAAAGUGGCAUCACUUAAGGUUUAAAGCUUCGGCGGUUAAAGAUGGGCAUGCGUGACAUUAGUUUGUUGGUGAGGUAACGGCUCACCAAGACUACGAUGUCUAGGGGUUCUGAGAGGAUGAUCCCCCACACUGGUACUGAGACACGGACCAG